AACGUAGGAGACAAACGUUAUCCGGAGUUACUGGGCGUAAAGGGCGUGUAGGUGGUUGCGUAAGUCUGGCGUGAAAUUUUUCGGCUUAACCGGGAAAGGUCGUCGGAUACUGCGUAGCUAGAGGACGGUAGAGGCGUGUGGAAUUCCGGGUGUAGUGGUGAAAUGCGUAGAGAUCCGGAGGAACACCAGUGGCGAAGGCGACACGCUGGGCCGUACCUGACGCUGAGGCGCGAAAGCGUGGGGAGCAAACAGG
rnacentral:rRNA from 1 species